rnacentral:lncRNA from 1 species
AUUAGUAAGUUAAUUAGUUAACUUAAUUGAGACUAAUCUCUAUAAUUGAUUAGGAUAAUUAAUUUGGUUAAUUAACCCUAAUUUAUUUAAUUAACUCUAUUACUUAAUUUGAUGUGAAUGCCAUAUGGGGCCCGCCCUAUUUGUUGAACCUAAUUUUAAUAAAAUUAAAACUGAAUUAACUAUGGGUCUAUAAGAGUGGGACGCACUGGUUAGUUGACUAGUCAAGUGAGAUUGUUGACCGCUGAUGUCCGCAUGACAUCAUGCUAAUGUAAUAUAUAUUUGUUGAAUUAUAAUAAAUCUAUUUAAUUUCUAAAUAUUAAUAAAACUAUGAAAUUUAAUAAAAAAUAAUCUGGAAUCCGGAUGAAAAUAUUUUGUAUAUGAAAGUUGAUCAAAAAAACGAGACGAACCUGGAUACGUUAUCUGUUCGUGUGUCGCGCGUCCCUAGCAUAGCUAACAUGGAGCUUUUCCAUCCGUAUCGUCUGUCCAGUAGUAGCCAAAGACCACGGAAAUAUCGUGAGAUAUUUUCCUGCUUCGUGUGUAACGUUUAGUACUGCAUUAGUUCACCCCUAGCACGGUAAUUACCCUGUCAUGCUUUAUGAUGCAUUUGAUUGUUGUGUUAUUUAUUGUGUUUCCCCUACGUUGCUUCCUUUCUAGUAGACCCGAGACCGAGGAUGAUCCGGUGUUCGACUACUUCCCGGUCGAGGAUCCGUAUUUGUUUGCGGAGCAACUAGGCAAGCAACCCCCUUGAUCAUUCUUAUAUCACCUAUUAUUUCUCCCUCACGCUUGCAUUAGAUUUUGCUACUAUUGUAGAUAGCUCCUAUAUCUGAUGCCUAGCCUGUUUUUGAUGAACUGCUUCUUUCCUUUACGGUACUUUUAACAUGACAGUGUAAUAAUAUGAUGAAUAAUUUGGGUAGUAUGACUAAUUCGGGUAGUAUGGGUAUUUCGAGUUUUCUAGACUGAAACCCGAACCCGAACCCAAAAACCAAAUAGCUAAGAAAUGAGAACCGAACCCUAACCCAAUACCCUAAUUACCCGACAAUUCGAGUAAUUCGGUUCGGGUUCGGGUUUGGGUAACGGGUUAGGGUACCCAAAUGCCCAGGGUGAGGUGGAGCAGUCAUCCCCUUUGCCCCCCUUAGUCUAGUUGCCCCCGCUUUAUCGUCAAGUCUCAAUCAUCUGAUCGAUGAGCCAAGACCCGACACAUCACUUUACACCCCCUUGUUGUACGAUGUUGCAUGGCUACUAUCGAGUACCGAGGGUGACACUUCGAUACGUACUCAUGAUGUUAGCUUUGUAGUGUAAUUAACCGGCGGUGGUUCUCGAAGGGUGAUUCCUCCUUCACCACUUCCGGUAACGACUCUAUCGUACCACCCAUCAAGAAUGAUCUAGCAAGGGUGAUUCCUCCCUGGCCACCUUGAUGGUUACAUCAUUCGGAAUACAUCAAGGCUGAUACCUCGGAUUUUUCUGAUGUUGUAGCCACACAGUUACUUGACCUUGUUACUCGGAAUUUGAUGAAUGGUGUGUUGCGGGUGGAUUCCCGCGUGGAUGAGAUGAUGAGUUAAUUAAAAUGCUAAUGGAUUUGGGUAUUUGAUCUGAGUUGCUCGGGAGACCUUUUUUGCAGUAACCUUCACGUGGGAGAAUUUAUGUGUAUUCGACGUCGUGGUAUCAGCCGAAGCUCUUCACACGUCAGCAAUGAAAGGGUGCAUGCCUGAGUGGCCCGGAUAAGCAUGGUUCUUGUAUAAGAGGUACCAAGACUGACAUUAGCCGCCCUCGCAUGGUGCAGGAGCGCAACAGGUGAUGGGCCCAUGACCCCUGCGCGCUUAGGAUUUAGACCGGUGGGCUGGCCUCUCUAUUGAGCAUAGGUAAGGCUGCGACGUGUUGAUGUUCCGAGGCCGGGCAUGUCCGAGGAAACCGUGUCCGGCCAGAGUUUAUCGGGUACUAUGGUGCACCCCUGCAGGGAUGAAAAUUAAUUAUUCUAAUAGCCAUGUCCACGGUUACAGGGCGAUUUGGAGUUGUGCCCCGAUCUUAUACAACUACAACCUUUACUUAACUGGGAUGUUUACUCUGGGAUUGCUUCCUCGUAGGGAGUUGGGGAAUAAUCCCUAGGCAUGACCUUAAUUAAUAUUGCUGCAACAAUAUGACUAUAUAUUUGUGAUUCUUGCUCUACUCUCGUAUAUUGCUGCAAGACGCUGAAGAUGCUAGUCUUCGAUAGUACUAGUCCCCUCUCUCUAUUCUCGCAACGCUGUAGUCAGUCCACAUAAAACCCCCUUUCCUUUGAUACUGAUGCAUACUUAGCAUUUGUGAUGUUAGUCUUGCGACUACUUUGGAUGAGUACUCACCGUUGCUUUGCUCCCCACUUUCCCCUUGAUUCGAUUGCUGCGACCACAUGUUGGAGCCUAGGAGAUGGCAUUUCCCGCCGACGACGCCUGCUACCCCGAUGGUGCCUACUACUAUGUGGAGGCCGCUGAAGACCAGGAGUAGUUUAGGAGGUUCCCAGGCACAAGGCAUCGCCUCGUUUGAUCGUUGUAUCUUUUGUGCUAGCCUUCUCUAAGGCUUUAUCCUUUGUUUCAUGUUUGUACUCAAAUAUUUGUUGCUUCCGCUGACUCAUGUGUUUAUCGAACUUCUGUAUUCUAGCCCUUGAGGCCCCUGGCUUGUAAUAUGAAGCUUGUAUGAUUUUAUUUGUGUCUAGAGUUGUGUUGUGAUAUCUUCCCAUGAGUCCGUGAGCUUGGUCGUAUGCAAGCAUGUAUGAUUAGUGUACAAUCAAACCGAGAGCGUCACAGAAUGCCUAGAAGGCAUCCCCUCUUUCUUCUAACAACGAUCGACAAUUUUAC